UGUAAAACCAAUAUGGUAGAAGUCAUAUUUAUUGAAAAAAAUUAAUAUCUUUGCUAUAAAAUUUGUAACAGGAAUAUUUACUGAAUGUUUAUUUUGAUGCAUAAACCUGAAUGUUACAUACCAAGUACAAGACAAUAACACUAGUUUUUCCUUUAUUUACACUUUAUGAAAACUGUUAUGCAGUCCAUGUUAAAAGAACUUAUGAUGGAGAAUUGUUACAUUAGAAAAAUAAUAUUCUUGAUAAAGCAUUCUCAAUGUGUCCAAUCAUAUUCAAGUUUUCUUUUGGUAUGCUUUUCCCUCACUGUAAAAC
rnacentral:lncRNA from 1 species